UACACUCCUGCGGGAGGCAGCAGUGGGGAAUUUUGGACAAUGGGCGAAAGCCUGAUCCAGCCAUGCCGCGUGCAGGAUGAAGGCCUUCGGGUUGUAAACUGCUUUUGUACGGAACGAAACGGCCUUUUCUAAUAAAGAGGGCUAAUGACGGUACCGUAAGAAUAAGCACCGGCUAACUACGUGCCAGCAGCCGCGAUAAUACGUAGGGUGCAAGCGUUAAUCGGAAUUACUGGGCGUAAAGCGUGCGCAGGCGGUUAUGUAAGACAGUUGUGAAAUCCCCGGGCUCAACCUGGGAACUGCAUCUGUGACUGCAUAGCUAGAGUACGGUAGAGGGGGAUGGAAUUCCGCGUGUAGCAGUGAAAUGCGUAGAUAUGCGGAGGAACACCGAUGGCGAAGGCAAUCCCCUGGACCUGUACUGACGCUCAUGCACGAAAGCGUGGGGAGCAAACAGGAUUAGAUACCCGUGUAGUCCCAUG
rnacentral:rRNA from 1 species